rnacentral:rRNA from 1 species
CCUACGGGUGGCUGCAGUGGGGAAUUUUACGCAAUGGGGGAAACCCUGACGUAGCGACACCGCGUGAGCGAAGAAGCCCCUUGGGGUGUAAAGCUCUGUCAGCUGGAACGAAAAAAAUGACGGUACCAGCAGAGGAAGCAUCGGCUAACUACGUGCCAGCAGCCGCGGUAAGACGUAGGAUGCGAGCGUUGUCCGGAUUUAUUGGGCGUAAAGAGUUCGUAGGUGGUUUGUCAAGUCUGAUGUUAAAGAUCGGGGCUCAACCCUGGGACUGCAUUGGAUACUGGCAGACUUGAGUGUGGUAGAGGCUAGUGGAAUUCCCAGUGUAGCGGUGAAAUGCGUAGAUAUUGGGAAGAACACCGGUGGCGUAGGCGACUAGCUGGGCCAUAACUGACACUGAGGAACGAAAGCCAGGGUAGCGAAUGGGAUUAGAUACCCGUGUAGUC